UACGGAGGGUGCAAGCGUUGUUCGGAAUUACUGGGCGUAAAGGGCGUGUAGGUGGUCAGGUAAGUCUGAUGUGAAAUCAUCAUCGCUUAACGAGAUGUCCGCAUCGGAUACUGUCUGACUUGAGUAUAGGAGAGGAUAACGGAAUUCCUGGUCGUAGCGGUGGAAUGUGUAGAUAUCAGGAAGAACACCAAUGGCGAAGCAGCGUCUCUGGGAGCGUACUGAC
rnacentral:rRNA from 1 species